rnacentral:rRNA from 1 species
UACUCGAGUGGCGAACGGGUGAGUAACACGUGGGUGAUCUGCCCUGCACUUCGGGAUAAGCCUGGGAAACUGGGUCUAAUACCGGAUAGGAGCCAUUUUUAGUGUGAUGGUUGGAAAGUUUUUUCGGUGUAGGAUGAGCUCGCGGCCUAUCAGCUUGUCGGUGGGGUAAUGGCCUACCAAGGCGGCGACGGGUAGCCGGCCUGAGAGGGUGGACGGCCACAUUGGGACUGAGAUACGGCCCAG